AAGAAGCGAGUCAUGAAAAGAAGGUAAAGGUAUAAAGGGCUCACGGAGGAUGCCUUGGUAGCGGGAGGCGAAGAAGGGCGUGGCCAGCUGCGAAAAGCCGCGUGUAGGUGCAAGCGACCAUAGAAGCGCGGAUGCCCGAAUGGGGAAACCCACUAGGCAGAGAUGUCUAGUAUCCUGAAAAGGAAGCGAACCUUGCGAACUGAAACAUCUUAGUAGCGAGAGGAAAAGAAAUCGAAGAGAUUCCCUGAGUAGCGGCGAGCGAAACGGGAAGAGCCUAAACCUAUAUAGUGUAAGCGUACGGGCGUUGCUAUAUAGGGGUAGAGGGAUAUAUGCGGGCCUGACCGUACAGGGCCGGGAGAAGCUAAAGACUAGUCGAACAAUCUGGGAAGAUAGACCGGAGAAGGUGAAAGUCCUGUAGGCGAAAGUCAGAGGCUAUCCUUGGAUAUAUCCCGAGUAGCGCGGGGCACGAGAAAUCCCGUGUGAAUCUGGGGAGACCACUCUCUAAGGCUAAAUACUACCUGCUGACCGAUAGUGCAAAAGUACCGUGAGGGAAAGGUGAAAAGCACCCCGGGAGGGGAGUGAAAGAGUACCUGAAACCGUGAGUCUACAAUAAGUGGGAGCACGAAAGUGCGACCGCGUGCCUUUUGAUUAAUGAGCCUGCGAGUUACCGUAACUGGCGAGGUUAAUCCGAGAGAGGAGAAGCCGAAGGGAAACCGAGUCUUAAUAGGGCGGAAGUCAGUUGCGAUAGACCCGAAACCGGGUGAGCUAUCCAUGGGCAGGUUGAAGGUGGGGUAACACCCACUGGAGGACCGAACCAGUUAGCAGUAAAAAGCUAUUGGAUGACCUGUGGAUAGGAGUGAAAAGCUAACCGAACUCGGUGAUAUCUGGUACUCCUCGAAACGUGUCUAAGCACGGCCUUGCAUGGUUAGUAGAGGGGGUAGAGCACUGAUUGGGCUAGGGGGGCGACCUCCAACCCCAGUCAAACUCCGAAUACCUCUACUCAAAGUGCAGGAGACAGACUGCGAGCGAUAAGGUCCGUAGUCGAGAGGGAAACAGCCCAGACCACCAGCUAAGGGCCCAGAGAGAUAGCUAAGUGUUAAAGGAAGUGGAGAGUCAAAGACAGCUAGGAUGUUGGCUUAGAAGCAGCCAUCAUUAAAAGAGUGCGUAACAGCUCACUAGUCGAGACUCACCGCGCCGAAGAUGUAAGGGGGCUAAAGCUAUCCUCCGAAGCUGUGGAACAGGAAACUGUUGGUAGAGGAGCAUUGUGUUGUAGGGAGAAGGUAGACCCGUGAGGGCUGCUGGACGAGACACAAGAGAGAAUGCAGGCAUGAGUAAACGAGAGGAGAGUGAGAAUCUCUCCCCCCGAAAGCCUAAGGGUACCUGGGGAAGGUUCGUCCACCCAGGGUUAGUCGAGACCCUAAGGGGAACCCGAAAGGGGUAACCGAUGGGAAACCGGUUAAUAUUCCGGUACUGGCGUAACAUGAGUUUUGGGGUGUGACACAGGAGGAUAGGCGUUGCGUACUAGUUGCAUAGUGCGUCUAAGUUUCUAGUCCGAAGAUCGCGGCAGGGAAAUCCACCGCAGGAGGGUGAGGGACGAAUGGGAGUUCCUUCGGGAGCAACAAUGUUGAGUUCAUACUGUCGAGAAAAGCAUCGCAAAGCGUUUGAGUGUUAAGCCAAUCGUUCUGAAAACCGACACAGGUAGGCAAGCUGAGAAGGCUAAGGGGAGCGGGAUAACUCCUGUUAAGGAACUAGGCAAAUUAGCCCCGUAACUUCGGGAGAAGGGGUACUCUGGUUGGUUAAGAGCUGACUGGAGUCGCAGUGACAAGGCAGCGGCGACUGUUUACCAAAAACACAGGGCUCUGCGAAUUCGAUAAGAAGACGUAUAGGGUCUGACGCCUGCCCAGUGCUGGAAGGUUAAGGGGAAAGGUUAGCGUAAGCGAAGCUUUGAACCGAAGCCCCAGUAAACGGCGGCCGUAACUAUAACGGUCCUAAGGUAGCGAAAUUCCUUGUCGGGUAAGUUCCGACCUGCACGAAUGGCGUAACGAUCGCUGCACUGUCUCAACAGGAGACCCGGUGAAAUUUCAGUCUGGGUGAAGAUGCCCAGGACUCGCAACUAGACGGAAAGACCCCAUGGAGCUUUACUGUAGCUUGGUAUUGUGCUUUGUUGUAUGGUGUACAGGAUAGGUAGGAGGCGUAGAACCCGGUUCGCCAGGAUCGGGGGAGCCAACGGUGGGAUACUACCCUCCAUACAACGGAGUACUAACUUGCACGUGUGGAGAGCACGGCAAGGACAUUGCUAAGUGGGCAGUUUGACUGGGGCGGUCGCCUCCAAAAGAGUAACGGAGGCGCGCUAAGGUUGGCUCAGGUUGGUUGGAAAUCAACCAUAGAGUGUAAGGGCAAAAGCCAGCUUGACUGUGAGACUGACAGGUCGAACAGGAGGGAAACCUGGCCCUAGUGACCCUGCGGCCCUGAGUGGAAAGGCCGUUGAUCAACGGAUAAAAGCUACCCUGGGGAUAACAGGCUUAUACUGCCCGAGAGUUCAUAUCGACGGCAGUGUUUGGCACCUCGAUGUCGGCUCAUCGCAUCCUGGGGCUGGAGCAGGUCCCAAGGGUUAGGCUGUUCGCCUAUUAAAGCGGUACGUGAGCUGGGUUCAGAACGUCGUGAGACAGUUCGGUCCCUAUCUGUUGCGAGCGUAGGAGACUUGAGAAGGGUAGCCCCUAGUACGAGAGGACCGGGGUUAGUGGACCUCUAGUGAAUCAGUUGUCGUGCAAGCGGCAGUAGCUGAGUAGCUACGUUCAUGAGUGAUAACCGCUGACAGCAUCUAAGCGGGAAGCACGCUUCAAGACUAGGUCUCUCAGGAUCGUUCGAGAAGAGGACGUAGAUAGGCUGGAGAUGUAAGCACUGUGAAGUGUUCAGUCGACCAGUACUAAUAAUCCGAUUCCUUUACCUUAUAUUUCCCUAUGUACUCUUGAGUGAACAGAUAUUCUGGGUGAAG
rnacentral:rRNA from 1 species